rnacentral:rRNA from 1 species
GAUGAACGCUGGCGGCGUGCCUAAUACAUGCAAGUCGAGCGAACAGACGAGGAGCUUGCUCCUCUGACGUUAGCGGCGGACGGGUGAGUAACACGUGGAUAACCUACCUAUAAGACUGGGAUAACUUCGGGAAACCGGAGCUAAUACCGGAUAAUAUAUUGAACCGCAUGGUUCAAUAGUGAAAGACGGUUUUGCUGUCACUUAUAGAUGGAUCCGCGCCGCAUUAGCUAGUUGGUAAGGUAACGGCUUACCAAGGCGACGAUGCGUAGCCGACCUGAGAGGGUGAUCGGCCACACUGGAACCGAGACACGGUCCAGACUCCUACGGGAGGCAGCAGUAGGGAAUCUUCCGCAAAGGGCGAAAGCCUGACGGAGCAACGCCGCGUGAGUGAUGAAGGUCUUCGGAUCGUAAAACUCUGUUAUUAGGGAAGAACAAAUGUGUAAGUAACUAUGCACGUCUUGACGGUACCUAAUCAGAAAGCCACGGCUAACUACGUG